UACGUAGGGUGCAAGCGUUGUCCGGAAUUAUUGGGCGUAAAGAGCUCGUAGGCGGUCUGUCGCGUCGGCUGUGAAAACUCGGGGCUCAACCCCGGGCCUGCAUUCGAUACGGGCAGACUAGAGUUCGGUAGGGGAGUCUGGAAUUCCUGGUGUAGCGGUGAAAUGCGCAGAUAUCAGGAGGAACACCGGUGGCGAAGGCGGGACUCUGGGCCGAUACUGACGCUGAGGAGCGAAAGCGUGGGGAGCGAACAGG
rnacentral:rRNA from 1 species